rnacentral:tRNA from 2 species
GCAUUCGUAGCUCAGCUGGAUAGAGCGUUGCCCUCCGAAGGCAGAGGUCGUUGGUUCAAAUCCAAUCGAGUGCACCA